UCAGAAAACUUGUUUUAUUACUAUCAGUUUCCAAACAAGUCAAUCUAACCAAGUCUAAUGUCUGCAACAAAACUCAUUGGAUUGAAACACCCAGUUUAGGAUCAUACUAUGAAAAAAGAAAAGGGGAAUUGACAUGUAACAGCCAGUACUAGAUGGGUUUCCUGUCUAAAUUCAAGCUGGAAUUUCAAAGCUAGCUAAGCAUUUUGGGGAAAAUUGCCACAUAAGAUGGUAGGAAAAACAAAUGUCUCUUUUCAUCAAUGCAUAGAAAAUAUAAUUGGUGACUUAAGAAAGAAAAUUCUUGAUGGUUUCUUAUAUUCCUAACUUGUAUUACAUUCUU